UACAGAGGUGGCAAGCGUUGUUCGGAAUCACUGGGCGUAAAGGGCGCGUAGGCGGCUUUGUAAGUCGGGGGUGAAAGCCUGUGGCUCAACCACAGAAUUGCCUUCGAUACUGCAUGGCUUGAGACCGGAAGAGGUAAGUGGAACUGCGAGUGUAGAGGUGAAAUUCGUAGAUAUUCGCAAGAACACCAGUAGCGAAGGCGGCUUACUGGUCCGGUUCUGACGCUGAGGCGCGAAAGCGUGGGGAGCAAACAGG
rnacentral:rRNA from 1 species